UACAGAGGUCUCAAGCGUUGUUCGGAUUCAUUGGGCGUAAAGGGUGUGUAGGUGGCGCUGUAAGUCGGGUGUGAAAUCUCGGGGCUUAACUCCGAAACUGCAUUCGAUACUGCGGUGCUUGAGGACUGGAGAGGAGACUGGAAUUCAUGGUGUAGCAGUGAAAUGCGUAGAUAUCGUAAGGAAGACCAGUGGCGAAGGCGGGUCUCUGGACAGUUCCUGACGCUGAGGCACGAAGGUCAGGGGAGCAAACGGG
rnacentral:rRNA from 1 species